GAUGAACGCUAGCGGUGUGCUUAAAGCAUGCAAGUCGAACGUGAUCCUUGGAUUCGUUCAAGGUGAAAGUGGCGAACGGGUGAGUAACGCGUUGGUGAUCUGCCCCGGAGUGGGGGGAUAACUAUCGGAAACGAUAGCUAAUACCCCAGAUGUUAUCGUGUUUGGAAAGCGAUAACUGAAGUUCAGGCGCUCCGGGAGGAGCCUGCGUCCCAUCAGCUAGUUGGUAGAGUAAAAGCCUACCAAGGCGACGAUCGGUAGCUGGUCUGAGAGGAUGAUCAGCCACAAUGGGACUGAGACACGGCCCAUACUCCUACGGGAGGCAGCAGUGGGGAAUUUUACGCAAUGGGCGAAAGCCUGACGUAGCGACACCGCGUGAGCGAAGAAGCCCCUUGGGGUGUAAAGCUCUGUCAGCUGGAACGAAAAAAAUGACGGUACCAGCAGAGGAAGCAUCGGCUAACUACGUG
rnacentral:rRNA from 1 species